rnacentral:rRNA from 1 species
CAGUCGAGAAUUUUUCUCAAUGGGCGAAAGCCUGAAGGAGCGACGCCGCGUGGGGGAUGAAGGGUUUCGAUCCGUAAACCCCUGUCAUUUGUGAACAAUGGUUAUCAUUUAAAAGAUGAUGACUUGAUAGUAAUGAAAGAGGAAGGGACGGCUAACUCUGUGCCAGCAGCCGCGGUAAUACAGAGGUCCCGAGCGUUGUUCGGAUUCACUGGGCGUAAAGGGUGCGUAGGUGGCGAUGGAAGUUUGAUGUGAAAUCUCCGGGCUUAACCCGGAAAUGGCAUUGAAUACUCUAGCGCUUGAGGUUUGGAGGGGGGACUGGAAUUCUCGGUGUAGCAGUGAAAUGCGUAGAUAUCGAGAGGAACACCAGUGGCGAAGGCGGGUCCCUGGACAACACCUGACACUGAGGCACGAAAGCUAGGGGAGCAAACAGGAUUAGA